rnacentral:misc_RNA from 1 species
GAUGAAGAACGUAGCGAAAUGCGAUAAGUAAUGCGAAUUGCAGAAUUUCCGUGAAUCAUCGAAUCUUUGAACGCACAUUGCGCCCCCCGGCAUUCCGGGGAGCAUGCCUGUUCGAGCGUCUCUUGGAAUACCCCUCACGCCGGCGGAGGCGUGGUCAUGGCGGCGGUGGCGUGCCCCGAGAGGGAGGCCACCGCGCUGGAAUCCAUGGGCGGACGCCUGCCGCGUGGCCGAGCGUGAUAAGACGCACUGGCGCUCGCGCGCGGCGAGGCUGCCGGCCCUGGCCCGCUCGUCGGGCGGGGACAGCAACACUUGGGAACUCCUCGAAUCAGGUAGGGAUACCCGCUGAACUUAAGCAUAUCAAUAAGCGGAGGA